rnacentral:lncRNA from 1 species
UUUUGUUUCAAGAUGGAUAGGGACGGAAACAGACUGUACAAAAGAUCCGGCACUGUAUAAUAAUGGAUCAAUGACAAGAUGCCCAGAAGUCAGUGAAAUAAAUUAUAUGUUAUUAGCUGUUUAUACGGUCUUGACGCAUAUCAUUCUCGUCAAUUUUCUUAUAGCAAUGUUUGCGUAAGUAUUUGAUAGACAAACCUAUUUUGUAUUUAUGUGUGUUUUUGGUUUAUUAACAGAGGAAACUAUCAUUAAGAAUGAGUUCAAAUAUUACAAGAGCAAUGCCUUAUAUGAGAGUAAUUUAUAUUGAAAAAUAUAGUCAUUGGAUAGGUUCCAAUAUUUUUAUUUUCAUAAUUUUUUGAAAGCAUAUAGUGUCAAGGAGUUAACCGUCCUAAACUUUAAACACUGUAAUACGAUCAUUGAAUAUGGUUUUUAUUGGUAUAGAUAUUGAUUUUGUUAUCAGUAGAUUAAAAGCUAACUAAAUAUUACGAGUAUGUUAUAUACAAUAUAAAUUUUCAAGGAUCUACGAUCUGUCGAUACCUGUAACUUGGCAUUGAACAAGGUCAUGUUCUUCUCUGGCUGUAUAUGACGUCUUUACACUAAAUCCAUUGUAUGUUGGAUGUGUACGGAUUGAGUGUUUAGAGUCUUAGAGGCUUCAUUUUUUUUAUUAGUUGUUAGUGGCUUUGAACUAGCUGUCAGAUAACUGCGAGUACUCUCAGAUCUGUUCAUUGUGUCUUUUUGUGUCGGGAUGUAUAAGUACCCGGCCACGUCCACUUGUAUUUUUUGUUUAUCAUGCCUUUUUCAACUGAUUUUUAUAGUUUGUUCUUAUGUUGUACUGUUAUACCACUGUCUCAGGUUAGGGGAGGGUUGGGAUCCCGCUAACAUGUUUAACCCCGCCACAUUAUUUAUGUAUGUGCCUGUCCCAAGUCAGGAGCCUGUAAUUCAGUGGUUGUCUUUUGUUUAUGUGUUACAUUUUUGUUUUUCGUUAAUUUUCUUACUUAAAUAAGGCCGUUAGUUUUCUCGUUUGAAUUGUUUUACAUUGUCUGAUCGGGGCCUUUUAUAGCUGACUAUGCGGUAUGGGCUUUGCUCAUUGUUGAAGGCCGUACGGUGACCUAUAGUUGUUAAUGUUUGUUUUAUUUUGGUCUUUUGUGGAUAGUUGUCUGAUUGGCAAUCAUACCACACCUUCUUUUUUAUAUUUUAAAAAGAUAGUUGCAUGGAGUCGGAACCUAAACUCAGCAGGUUUCAUUAAAUGUUAAAUCACAGGCUGAAACACAACCGACGGACUGCAUGUUAAGUAAAAUUUCGUGAAUCAGAAACACACAUAUAUAAACUCUUAACAAAUGUGUUUAAUCUUUAUAAUUCUACACGCAAUGAUUUGCAAUUGUAUUUUGACAUUUUAUUUUAUGAGCGGUCAAAUCCAGAGUUGAGAUAUCGUAACAACAGAAUGAGAAGCUAUAUUGCCUUUAGGAAAUCAACACCUACCUCAAAAUCUCUAUCAAAAUGGGAUAUUAUGCAAGUUUUAUCCGUAUAAAAAAGGAAUAUAGUAAAUACACCAAUAUCAUGAUUUUGUUUAUAAGUAGUACGAACUGAACUGGUGUGUCACAGUCUCAUAUUAUAAAAGAAAGGCGAAUUAUACCAAAGGGAUAUUCAAGACCAUAAGUCGAAGAAUAAAAGAUAAUCACAUGGCACCAACCCCCAAAAAAAAUCGAACGACGAAUAACUGAACAAAAAAACAGACAUGGAAAAUAAAAUAAAAGCUAAACAUACCCUACCACAAACCUUGGGUGAUCUCUAGUGCUCCGGAGAAGAAGUAAGACUGAACGAUUGUAUUAUCUUCAUAUUUACUCCUUCUGUAAUGGUAAUUGUCGAUUCUGUUGAUUUACAAAUUUUGAUUUACUUGCUUAUUAGACAUCGCCUUGACGGCCUUUCUAUCUGAAUGACCUAUGCAACAUUGACAUGUGUAAUGUUGUUUUUCUUUUGCGCUUAAUAAGGUUGAAAUUGUGGAAGUGCAAAUCCAUGUUCAUCCUUUUUUGAUAACUGCAUCAUGUGAAACAAAUUGUUUCCGUAGGUACCAAACACUGCUGUCUACAAAGAUAUUCUAACAUUUGGAACAAAAUGAACUAUUUUACACAACAUCAAGUCUAUUUUUCGUUACGGAUUAAUUUUUCUCAUGUCUUAUUUUGUCAGGCAUACAUUUACAAGGUCUCAAGACAACAAUGAACUGGUUUGGAAGUUUCAUCGAUUUUCGCUUGUCCAAGAGUAUUAUGACAGGUGUCUGUUGAUACCACCGCUGAUAAUACUAAAUCACACGAAGAGAGCUUUCUUUUUCAUCUUGGGUAAAUGUUGCCAUGUCAGAAACACAAAGCACGUAAAUGUUUU